rnacentral:lncRNA from 1 species
CGCAAUAGCAGUAAGUCAGUAACCCACCCAGUUGCUCGCGAUGGAAAAUUCGCCAUCAAUUUUCCCAUUUCAAUUUGAUUUUCAGAAGCUCUAAUUUCACGCAAACAAUUCGUAACAUAAAUUAAUUUCAUUGUAAAUGGCUGUAAUUUUCUCCUUUCAAAUCUUUUCAAUCCGUUAUUGUAAGAGAAAAGCAGUGGUUGUAAAGUUGUAAACCAUGUCCUUGAGGAGCGGCGGCGGCAGCAAUCAUAGUAAAGAAGACGAACGGAACAAGGAUACUUCUUCUUCACCUUCUACGCUGGAAUCAAGAUUCAAUCAAACUCUCAAAAAUGUUCAAGGGUAUGUGUUUAAUUUUUUACUCGUUAGAUCCAACAGUAAUUAACUUCUAAUUAACCCAGAAUUUUGUUACCAAAGGAAAUCCCAUUUCCCAGUUGGUAACGGGUUUCUUCUGUUUUGGUUCAGAAUUGAAUACCCAUUUGAAAAUUAAUACUGAAAAACCAAAUAGAAUUUAAUUUGAGAAUUCGUUUGAAUUUUAAUCUGGGGAUUAAUUUAACUUCUAUCGUGUUUGUUAGCUGAUACUUAAUGAUCUAAAUUCUAAUUUCAGUAGACGUGGUUGUUUACAUUGUAUAUUUAUGUAAAGUUUUUUCCUUCCUUUUUUUUUUUCGAAUUAUGGAAUCAUGGAACUGCGAUUUGUGUGUGCCAAUAGUGCAAUUAAAAUUGUAUACAUUGCUUAGUUUCGAUGGAUUGUUUCAGUUCUUAACGGUGAAUUAUGUGAUCAAUUUUUAAAUUUCUUUUUACAUUUUUAUUCUUCUUCAUAUUGAG